rnacentral:rRNA from 1 species
CGAGGGGCAGCGGGGUAGUGCUUGCACUACUGCCGGCGACCGGCGCACGGGUGAGUAACACGUAUGGAACCUGCCCGCAGCAGGGGGAUAAGCGGAAGAAAUUCCGUCUAAUACCGCGUAACAACGUUGGGAGGCAUCUCCCGAUGUUUAAAGAUUUAUCGGCUGCGGAUGGCCAUGCGGCGCAUUAGCUAGUCGGCGGGGUAACGGCCCACCGAGGCGACGAUGCGUAGGGGUUCUGAGAGGAAGGUCCCCCACACUGGUACUGAGACACGGACCAGACUCCUACGGGAGGCAGCAGUGAGGAAUAUUGGUCAAUGGCCGAGAGGCUGAACCAGCCAAGUCGCGUGAGGGAAGACGGCCCUACGGGUUGUAAACCUCUUUUGUCGGGGAGCAAAGCGAACCACGUGUGGUUCAUUGAGAGUACCCGAAGAAAAAGCAUCGGCUAACUCCGUGCCAGCAGCCGCGGUAAUACGGAGGAUGCGAGCGUUAUCCGGAUUUAUUGGGUUUAAAGGGUGCGCAGGCGGAGGUGCAAGUCAGCGGUCAAAUUGCGGGGCUCAACCCCGUACUGCCGUUGAAACUGCAUCCCUUGAGUGCGCGAGAAGUAUGCGGAAUGCGUGGUGUAGCGGUGAAAUGCAUA